rnacentral:rRNA from 1 species
CGUUGGCGGCGUGCUUAAUACAUGCAAGUCAACUGAAGCACCGGUAGUAAUACUGGUGUGGAGGUGGCGCACGGGUGAGUAACACGUAGGUAAUCUGCCUUCAGGUCUGACAUAACCCCGAGAAAUCGGGGCUAAUAGCAGAUGAUGCAGCGGCUUGACAUCAAGACAGUUGUUAAAGCUUCGGCGCCUGAAGAUGAGCCUGCGUCUGAUUAGCUAGUUGGCGGAGUAAUAGCCCACCAAGGCGACGAUCAGUAGCUGGUCUGAGAGGAUGAUCAGCCACACUGGAACUGAGACACGGUCCAGACUCCUACGGGAGGCAGCAGUAAGGAAUAUUGCUCAAUGGGAGAAUCCUGAAGCAGCAACGCCGCGUGAGGGAUGAAGGGCUUUUGCUCGUAAACCUCUGUAGUGAGGGAAAAAUUUCCAUUCUAUGGAAUAUGAUGGUACCUCAAAAGUAAGCCCCGGCUAACUACGUG